rnacentral:rRNA from 1 species
AUUGAACGCUUGCGGCAGGCCUUACACAUGCAAGUCGAACGAGUGGCGGACGGGUUGGUACUGUCCGUGAAACUGCCCGAUGGAGGAGGAUAACUACUCGAAACUGUAGCUAAUACCGCAUUCCGUCGGAUGUGCCCAGAUGGGAUUAGCUAGUAGGUGGGGUAACGGCUCACGUAGGCGACGAUCCCUAGCUGGUCUGAGAGGAUGACCAGCCACACUGGAACUGAGACACGGUCCAGACUCCGACGGGAGGCAGCAGUGGGGAAUAUUGGACAAUGGGCGCAAGCCUGAUGCAGCCAUGCCGCGUGUAUGAUGAAGGCCUUCGGGUUGUAAAGUACUUUCAGCGGGGAGGCGUUACCCGCAGAAGAAGCACCGGCUAACUCCGUGCCAGCAGCCGCGGUAAUUC